UACGUAGGAUGCAAGCGUUAUCCGGAUUUACUGGGCGUAAAGAGCGCGUAGGUGGUUUCGUAAGUUGGGCGUGAAAGCCCCCGGCUUAACUGGGGAGGGUCGUUCAAAACUACGAGACUUGAGGGUAGAAGAGGAGAUUGGAAUUCCCGGUGUAGUGGUGAAAUGCGUAGAUAUCGGGAGGAACACCUGUGGUGAAGACGAAUCUCUGGGCCACUCCUGACACUAAGGCGCGAAAGCGUGGGGAGCGAACGGAAUUAGAUACUCCGGUAGUCCACGCCCUAAACGAUGGACACUAGGUGUGGUGGGUAUCGACCCCCGCCGUGCCGUAGUCAACACAAUAAGUGUCCCGCCUGGGGACUACGAGCGCAAGCUUAAA
rnacentral:rRNA from 1 species